rnacentral:lncRNA from 1 species
ACUGUAAAUCUGCCUUAGUUUUUGGAGAUACUGCUAUCAAGAUCCUAUUGAUGUUAACCAAAGCAAGAAAUGAUGUAUCAGCAAGGGGGCUGAAGAUGGAACAAAGGAAGUAUGAUAAAACGUCCUGAAAAUAAAGACGGUAGUGAUGAUUCAACAGGGAGAGACAAUCUGUGUAGAUACCAGGUGAUAUCACUAAAUAAAAGGCUGAAGAAGCAUUAGCAAGAUAGAAAAGGACCUGCAAACAUUAAAAUUCAAGGUAAGAUAAAAGAAGUCCUAAAAAUUCUUCAAAUAAAUAGAACUGUCUUCAUAAUUGUUUAAUGUUUUAUGAAUUGCCUUUAAGUGGGAUACGUGGUAUUUAGAUAAGAAACUAAAAUGUUAAGUUACUUUCCUACUAGAAUAAAAAAAUGAG